rnacentral:rRNA from 1 species
UACGGAGGGAGCUAGCGUUGUUCGGAAUUACUGGGCGUAAAGCGCACGUAGGCGGCGAUUUAAGUCAGAGGUGAAAGCCCGGGGCUCAACCCCGGAUUGCCUUUGAGACUGGAUUGCUAGAAUCCGGGAGACGUGAGUGGAAUUCCGAGUGUAGAGGUGAAAUUCGUAGAUAUUCGGAAGAACACCAGUGGCGAAGGCGACUCGCUGGACAGGUAUUGACGCUGAGGUGCGAAAGCGUGGGGAGCAAACAGGAUUAGAAACCCCCUGUAGU